GAUCAUGUGUGCAUACAUGUGCUGACAUUCGUAUGCAUAUGAUAAAAUUGCAACAUUGUGUGAUGCUGAGUGAAUUGCUUUAUCUCUCGGAUUCUUCUCUCAUUUGUUAAAUGAUACUAAUAACAGGACUUACUUCUGGUUUUACAGUAGCUACUCUGUGAAAUAACCCAAAUGAAAAUGCUCAUCCUAGUGUUUGGUAUGCUGGAUGUAUAUGAGGCAGUUUUCUUCCUUCCUUCCCGCUUUCUCUCCUUCCCUUCCUUUCCCCCGUCUCCCUCCUUCCUUCUCCUCUUCUGCCUUUAUAAAAUGAGCUAACUGAAUAUGUCUUGCUUCUUUUAACUUUAGGAUUCAGGGAUGUUUUCUUUUUCAACUGGGGACUCUGCUUUGCUUAUCGUGCUUAUUAAAUCAGUUGGUUAUCAAAUCAGUCAAUGAGACCUGUGCUGCAUAAUGGGAGUGUAAAGAACACGAAGACACUGUUUCUGCCCGCAUAGACCUAACAAUCUAGAUCAGCAGUUCUUAACUGGGGGCAAUUUUGCUCCCCACCCCUAUUUGGGGAUAUUUAACAAUAGCUGGAGACAUUUUUGGUUGUCACAACUUGCAGGAGGCAGGUGGGCAAGGAUGUGCUAAGCUCCUGAAAUGCACAGGACAGUCCCCUAUCACCCACCCAAGCCAGGAGUGAGUCUUCCCAAGAUGUCAAUUGUGCUGAGAUUAGGAAACUGUAGUCUAAUGGAGAAGACAAAUGAAAAGCCCAGCAAUUA